AGUGAACGCUGGCGGUAGGCCUAACACAUGCAAGUCGAACGGCAGCACAGUAAGAGCUUGCUCUUACGGGUGGCGAGUGGCGGACGGGUGAGGAAUACAUCGGAAUCUACUUUUUCGUGGGGGAUAACGUAGGGAAACUUACGCUAAUACCGCAUACGACCUACGGUUGAAAGCAUGGGAUCUUCGGACCUUGCGCGAUUGAAUGAGCCGAUGUCGGAUUAGCUAGUUGGCGGGGUAAAGGCCCACCAAGGCGACGAUCCGUAGCUGGUCUGAGAGGAUGAUCAGCCGCACUGGAACUGAGACACGGUCCAGACUCCUACGGGAGGCAGCAGUGGGGAAUAUUGGACAGUGGGCGCAAGCCUGAUCCAGCCAUACCGCGUGGGUGAAGAAGGCCUUCGGGUUGUAAAGACCUUUUGUUGGGAAAGAAAAGCAGCAGGUUAAUACCCCGCUGUUCUGACGGUACCCAAAGAAUAAGCACCGGCUAACUUCGUG
rnacentral:rRNA from 1 species